GCAAGCGAGAAGGGGCAUGGAGAAGUCCUCCAGAUGAGGGACAGUUUCCUUGGUGGACAGAGUAGUAUUGUUGUCUGAUAUGUAGUUUCAUUUUCCUUGUAACAGGAAUAAUUCAGGGAGGUGCAAGGUGCAGCAGGCACUGUUUCACUUUCCAAAGUUGGGACACUGAUCAGGAACGGUUAGAAGAUGCAGUGUGGUACUUUCCCCAAUACAAAGAGGGAUGGAAGGUCAAUACUGAUGUCAUGCAGAAUAGUGUGAUGCAACAAUCGUGGGGUGAAUGCUGAAUUCACCUGCUCAGGAAGCAGGAACAGCGUAAGCAGUGACAGACUUUGAUGAGACCUAGCUCUAUGCCUUGCGUGUUUGCUGUGCUCCCUCAUGGAACUGGCGUGGGCAUUUCUGCAUGAAGAUACACUGUAUAGACGUGGUGUGUGCUCAAAGCUCAGAUGCAAUAUAAGGAAUAUAUCAGCUUGGUAAAAGAUUUCUGUGCAUGGAAGAGGAAGCUAUAUCCAGAAUUCUUUGGACAGGAAACACUGGACUCAGAUGGCUUUGACUCUACUGUAAUGAAUCCAUAGACUGAUUCCCUUGAGUCUGACUGCUGCAUGGCUGG